GAUGAACGCUGGCGGCGUGCCUAAUACAUGCAAGUCGAGCGAACAGACGAGGAGCUUGCUCCUCUGACGUUAGCGGCGGACGGGUGAGUAACACGUGGAUAACCUACCUAUAAGACUGGGAUAACUUCGGGAAACCGGAGCUAAUACCGGAUAAUAUAUUGAACCGCAUGGUUCAAUAGUGAAAGACGGUUUUGCUGUCACUUAUAGAUGGAUCCGCGCCGCAUUAGCUAGUUGGUAAGGUAACGGCUUACCAAGGCAACGAUGCGUAGCCGACCUGGGAGGGUGAUCGGCCAAACUGGAACUGAGACACGGUCCAGACUCCUACGGGAGGCAGCAGUAGGGAAUCUUCCGCAAUGGGCGAAAGCUUGACGGAGCAACGCCGCGUGAGUGAUGAAGGUCUUCGGAUCGUAAAACUCUGUUAUUAGGGAAGAACAAAUGUGUAAGUAACUAUGCACGUCUUGACGGUACCUAAUCAGAAAGCCACGGCUAACUACGG
rnacentral:rRNA from 1 species